UACGGAGGGUGCAAGCGUUAUCCGGAUUCACUGGGUUUAAAGGGCUCGUAGGCGGCCAACUAAGUCAGACGUGAAAUCCCUCGGCUUAACCGGGGAACUGCGUCUGAUACUGGAUGGCUUGAGUUUGGGAGAGGGAUGCGGAAUUCCAGGUGUAGCGGUGAAAUGCGUAGAUAUCUGGAGGAACACCGGUGGCGAAGGCGGCAUCCUGGACCAAAACUGACGCUGAGGAGCGAAAGCCAGGGGAGCAAACGGG
rnacentral:rRNA from 1 species